rnacentral:rRNA from 1 species
UACAGAGGUCUCAAGCGUUGUUCGGAUUCAUUGGGCGUAAAGGGUGCGUAGGCGGCGCGGUAAGUCGGGUGUGAAAUCUCGGGGCUUAACUCCGAAACUGCAUUCGAUACUGCCGUGCUUGAGGACUGGAGAGGAGACUGGAAUUUACGGUGUAGCAGUGAAAUGCGUAGAUAUCGUAAGGAAGACCAGUGGCGAAGGCGGGUCUCUAGACAGUUCCUGACGCUGAAGUACGAAGGCCAGGGGGAGCAAACGGG